rnacentral:rRNA from 1 species
UUAAAUUGAAGAGUUUGAUCAUGGCUCAGAUUGAACGCUGGCGGCAGGCCUAACACAUGCAAGUCGGACGGUAGCACAGAGGAGCUUGCUCCUCGGGUGACGAGUGGCGGACGGGUGAGUAAUGUCUGGGGAUCUGCCCGAUAGAGGGGGAUAACCACUGGAAACGGUGGCUAAUACCGCAUAACGUCGCAAGACCAAAGAGGGGGACCUUCGGGCCUCUCACUAUCGGAUGAACCCAGAUGGGAUUAGCUAGUAGGCGGGGUAAYGGCCCACC